UCUCUAUUAAUAAAACACAGAGCUGACCGGAGAGGAUUAUGGACCCAUAAAGUCCAGUGAUCCCCCACCUCCCUCCCUGACAUCAAAGAGAAACAAUAGGAAGAUCCUAGAAGUCACCCAGAAGAUCAUUGAUCUGCUGACGGGAGAGGUUCCUAUAAGGUGUCAGGAUGUCACUGUCUAUUUCUCC